rnacentral:tRNA from 1 species
CAGGGAGACAACAAAAUGUUUAAUAUUAUUAUUUUGUCACCUUAGGUCGAUCGGUAUCUCACGUUCUUAAUUUGUUAAGAAUUUCAUUUCCUAAGUUUUUCUAGGUCACACCCAUUAUUUUUCCUGGGCCAUUAGCUCAGGUGGUUAGAGCGCACCCCUGAUAAGGGUGAGGUCCCUGGUUCAAGUCCAGGAUGGCCCAUAUCUCUAUGUUGGGGGUAUAGCUCAGUUGGUAGAGCGCCUGCUUUGCAAGCAGGAUGUCAGCGGUUCGAGUCCGCUUACCUCCACUGAUUACCACCUCUUCCAUAACUGGUAGAAAGGAAAUGUUUUGAGUUGUGAUUAUUAUUCUGAACGAAUCUAGCUUCCUAAUGAAAUCAUUAAGAUGCUGGACUCAUUGAAUUAAUUUCAUUGUUUUCAGAGAACCUUGACAACUGCAUAGAUUUUUUUAAAGACAAUAAGCAACUUUAAUGAUGCAGAUUUAUUAUUUGUGCGAAUGCAUUAAUAACAAUUCUAUUAAGCUGAUGCUUCAAUUUUUGAAGUUAUU